GGACUUGGUAGUAAUCGCGGAUCAGCAGGCCGCGGUGAAUACGUUCUCAGAUUUUGUACACACCGCCCAUCAAGCCAGCAAAGUCGGUGGUGCCUGACGGUCCGAUGUACUUCGGACAAAGGGUAAAAUCGGCGAUGAGGGCUAAGUUGUAAAUUGUUGCAACCGCCAGAAGUAAUUUUGGCGACAAAUCUCGCUGUAU
rnacentral:ncRNA from 1 species